rnacentral:rRNA from 1 species
UACAGAGGUCUCAAGCGUUGUUCGGAUUCAUUGGGCGUAAAGGGUGCGUAGGCGGCGCGGUAAGUCGGGUGUGAAAUCUUGGAGCUUAACUCCGAAACUGCAUUCGAUACUGGCGUGCUUGAGGACUGGAGAGGAGACUGGAAUUUACGGUGUAGCAGUGAAAUGCGUAGAUAUCGUAAGGAAGACCAGUGGCGAAGGCGGGUCUCUGGACAGUUCCUGACACUGGGACACGAAGGCCAGGGGAGCAAACGGG